GGACCGGAGUGGACGCAUCACUGGUGUUCGGGUUGUCAUGCCAAUGGCACUGCCCGGUAGCUAAAUGCGGAAGAGAUAAGUGCUGAAAGCAUCUAAGCACGAAACUUGCCCCGAGAUGAGUUCUCCCUGAGACUAUAAGUCUCCUGAAGGAACGUUAAAGACGAUGACGUUGAUAGGCCGGGUGUGUAAGCGCAGCGAUGCGUUGAGCUAACCGGUACUAAUGAACCGUGAGGCUUAACCUUAC
rnacentral:rRNA from 1 species